rnacentral:sRNA from 1 species
UAGAGAAAAAUGCCACCCAAACUCGGUC